ACUUGGCUGGCUCAGUUGGGAGAGCAUGUGACUCUUGAUCUUAAGGUCGUGAGUUUGAGUCUCACGUCGAGUG